rnacentral:rRNA from 1 species
UACGGAGGAUCCAAGCGUUAUCCGGAUUUAUUGGGUUUAAAGGGUGCGUAGGCGGAAUGAUAAGUCAGUGGUGAAAGCCUGCAGCUUAACUGCAGAACUGCCAUUGAUACUGUCAAUCUUGAGUACAUUUGAUGAGGGCGGAAUGUGUCAUGUAGCGGUGAAAUGCUUAGAUAUGACACAGAACACCGAUUGCGAAGGCAGCUCUCAAAAACUGUAACUGACGCUGAGGCACGAAAGCGUGGGUAUCAAACAGG